UACAGAGGUCUCAAGCGUUGUUCGGAAUUACUGGGCGUAAAGGGCUCGUAGGCGGGAUGGCAAGUCGGUCGUGAAAUCCCUCGGCUCAACCGAGGAACGUCGAUCGAUACUGCUGUUCUUGAGGAUUGCAGAGGAGACUGGAAUUCCCGGUGUAGCGGUGAAAUGUGUAGAGAUCGGGAGGAACACCGGUGGCGAAGGCGGGUCUCUGGGCAAUUCCUGACGCUGAGGCGCGAAAGCGUGGGGAGCAAACGGG
rnacentral:rRNA from 1 species